rnacentral:lncRNA from 1 species
CUCUUCAGAUGCUCUAUGUAGCUAAGCCAGGAAAUGAUACACACACAGGCACAUUGGAAACGCAGUAGAAAAUGGCUGCCAAUUUAAAACCAGAAGUUAAGAAGAGCAAACUCGAAUGUACAGCAAGAGAGCUUCAGGCUGGACUGGCUUCCAGCAGAAGUGGGACUGGAAACCUCGGAUUCUAUUGUCUCUUCUCUGUGAAGUGGGAAAACAUGUCAGUAUCUGAACUUGAGCUUGGUAAUUACUGCUCAUUUCUCAACCUUUUCCAAGCCACGUAACUCCCCUAAGGCUUAGUUUUCUUAUCUGUGAAUUGCGAGAUGGUAUGUUCUUCAUCACGAGGUUGCUAUAAAGACUGAAUGAGAUAAUGUGUGUGGAAGCACCAAGCAUGGUCCUUGGCAUGCAGUAGAUGCUCAAUAAAUAUGAACUGGAGUA